UGGGGUUGUGGCUCAGAGGUAGAGCGCUGGCCUAGCAUGCAUGAGGCACUGGGUUUGAUUCUCAGCACCACAA
rnacentral:tRNA from 1 species